CUCUGCGUUGUCCUUGUUUUCUUCCCUUUUUUUUCUUGUUUUUAUGUCUUUUUCUCCUCCUUUUUGAAUCAAGAUGCUGCUGCCAAGAUCUCCCCUACUGCUAUAGUUUUCUCCCUCGUUGUUGUCUUUUUAUCUGCUCCAAAAAACACAAUCACCACACCCCUCUAGUUUGAUCUAUGAUUAGGUCAAAGAGGGGUGGGCUGUGGACGGCUAAAGUUUAUCAUGGACUGAAUAUGUGGGCUGUAAGAGCACAAUCAGAGCUGAAUAUGUCAGCCCAACAAACAGAGCAAAAUUCAUGGUUUAUUCUUAAUGUAAGAGACAUUAGCACCUGCAUUAUCUAUUUUAUCGGCUUCGAGGGUAAAGCACAGAAAAUGAAUAUAAAAAAAAAAAAUGGAUGGCAAGAGAAAGGCAAAUUCAACCCAUACAUAUAAUGCAAUUCUAAAUUAUAAUAGUGAAGGACAAAUUUUCUCAAUGUGGAAUGAUAAGGAAUGUUUCUUUACUUCCCACGUCUUUGCUAACUAAUGUAUAUCGAUCACAACAAUCUACAGCAUUUGAAAAGCCUACAAUAAGCAGAAUUUUAAACAUCUACACCGUAGACCAGAUUUAAGCAUAGAAUGAAAUUAGUUUAGUGUUUUGAAACACCAUCAGUUAAACCAAGGAUUUUAAUCAUGGGUAAUGACCCCCCCCCCCUCCCCACCCAACAGCUGGUCAAACCGGUAUAAAUCACUGGCAGCAAAGUUCGAAAAAUCAGCCAAUUCCAUUCCAGAUUGAUCGAUAAGAAUAUGUCAAAUUGCACCUACAAGAUCAUAUGACACAAUGAAAGUGGGUAAGGAAAUUAACUCUGUCAGAUCAGGUAUAUUCAAAAUCCAGACUAAUCUGAGAAAGCAUAUAUUCCUAAUCAUUUAUGCAUUGAAUUGACACUUUACAAGGUGUAUACGCCUUCCAAAGCAUAUUUUCCUAAUAAUUUAUGCAUCAACACUCUACUGAGUGUUUAUGCCUUCUUUAGCAUCACUGGAUGCAAGUUUAUCCAUUAUAUUAUGCAAAUGCUUCUUUUCAUUAUAUUACAUUUCCUUUAGGACGCAGCUCUGUAAACAGUUGUGGAAAGCAUCACAGAAUUCUAAUACCCCCUUUCUCAUUCCACUGGAAAUGAACGAUUUACCUGUAUAUUUGCAACCAGUCACUUGCUAGAUCCAAUCCAAGCAAUGCCAAGAAAAUAAAGCCUGGUCUGCAAGUAAGGUUCAACGAGAGUCUCACGUCAGAAAUGUGCCAAAGGAUAGACAGGAAAAUUGCAUAACAGCCAGUAAUGUUUGCCCUGAAGGAUGUCGAAAGCACCUGUCUGUUGCCGUAACAUCUCCAGAAGUUGACACUGGACUACAAAAUCUGAUGAAUAAAUCAAUUAUUACAGCUUACCAUUUCCCCCUUUUCUUGGCAUCUACCAGUCUAUCAAUUAUUACAGCUCCAGAGAGGAGCUAAAAAGUAUUAUAUUUAGACAUGAAAAAAAAACAUAUAUUUUCAAUGUAAAGGAACAAAGGAUCAACAUUUAGGCACAACUGAAUAUGAACCAGUAAUCCAAUGUUCAGUAUGAUUCAUAUAUAAGAGUGCUUAUGACUUGCUUCCUAGUGAAUUUCAUGCAUCAGUAAAUAUUUGAUGACUCAAAGACAAAUCUCCUCCUAUCCUUAUUAUUUGACUUCAUAAAAAUGUAUACAUACAUAUACAUAAAAAUGUAUCCUUAUUAUCACUCAAUUUAAAUUUUUAUGAAUAUGUAUAUAUCUUUGCAAAACUUGCACAUGUAAAUCACCACGUCACCUGAUCAUUAAAGUAAACAAUGUUUAGGUUCUGAUUGGCAUUAGCACCCCUUUAAAUAUGCCCUUUAAAGCAAAUAUGAUGGUAAAAGUAUCAAUGAAACUUUAUUAUUUUAAAUCUUAAUUUAAAAGAAAAAUGAAAUUAGCUGACAAUUGUUACCUUAGUUCUUGUAAUGAAUGUUAAUGGCAGGAGUUUUAUGGUGGAUCAUAGUUACCGGGGGGCAUAAAUGCUAUAGUCAAAUUUGUUGUGACAAAUGCACAUUUGCCAAACUUUUCAAUGAUUGGCAUGACAAAUCCCUUUUUUGUUUUAAUAAUUGUGGAUGAAAGCAAUGUGGUCACUUCAAAGUUAGGAGCCACUUAAAAGUGGCUCCAUAAGAGCAUUUGACAUCUUCCCACCAGAUCUUGAUGAGAUCUUUCACUAUUAAAUUAGAUAGUUGGAUAAUCAUAUUGAUAGAUGGCUAAGAUGUGAGAACUAGAGGGUCUUAACAUAUAGUAAUUAGUGCAGUGUUGCACAAGUGAUAGGUCUCAAGUUUGAGUCGACAUGUUAACAACAUUUGAUGUAAUGAAAAUUUCUUUUCAUUUUUCUUUUAAACAUAAAGCACAACUGAGAAGGAUGAUUGUCCCAAAACUCACAGGUUAACAAGGCGGCCAAGACUUAGAACUGACAGUCCUCCGAUCCUCCCAUCGUAGGGUGAGCUCGGAGCUGGAUGGAUACCUCCCUCCUCAAUAUCGGCCAAGAAAAAAGCCUAGAUCACACGAUAAAUUCGUGGUCCAUCUACCACCAUCAAAUACUAUGUUCAAGAUGAAUGUCUCACAGGCAUUUAAACGAACAUGACGCGUGCAAUCUAUACAGGGCAUAUUGAACUCCAAAAGCACAAAGUGCAAUCUAUACAGGGCAUAUUGAACUCCAAAAGCACAAAGUGCAAUCUAUACUGGGCAUAUUGAACUCCAAAGGCACAAAAGUCCUUGCGUAUCACAGGCUUUGGCCAAUUCGGCUAUAGGAAGUAACGUUAUAGGAUCAAGAAAAGCAUCAGUUUGGAGCAGGAACAUAUUCUCGAGUAGGUUAUUACCUUCCAACGAAUGCGGCGAGGAGGGGCGCGGCGCAGGUGCGGGUGCAACAUACCAUCGGCGACGAACGACAAAACCAAGACAAUCGCCCGUCCCCAUCCAUUGUCGCUGCUGGUGGUGGUGCUCGUUAAGAAGUGGGAACUGUGCGCGGCCGUCGGAAGGGACUCAUCCACCGUGUCGGCGCGUGGAGAGGGAAAGCCUGCAGGGAACAACAAUGCCUGUGUUGUGUUAAGCUCACGGGAGCUCCAAGGAAUUAGGUUGAAUAUAAUUGAAUCGGGUCAAAAUCUAAUUUACUCCGGUCCAAUUAAAAUCUAAUGUAGCUCACCAAGUCAAGCUAAAAUCUUUCUUAUCAUCGAACCGGUCCACUCCUUUCCAGUUCUCCAAAGUCCAACGGAUCGCGAUUUUACGUGUAAAUUAACACUGAACCCGGUCCAAUGUGACGGUCGAACGCGAAGCCGGUUUGUUGUCUCUACUAACCCAGUAAUUAACUCCGAACUCUCGUGGCAUUUGGCCC
rnacentral:lncRNA from 1 species